AUACUUACCUGGGCGGGGUCGAUCGGUGAUCAAGAAGGCCGAUGGCUUAGAAAGGUCACCUCCAUUGCACUUGGGAGGGGGGUCUUUCUAGCAUCUCCCAUUGAGGAGAGCGUACGUCAUAAUUUGUGGCAGCGGGGGCUCGCGUUCGCGCGGCCUCCAA
rnacentral:snRNA from 1 species